rnacentral:rRNA from 1 species
AUUGAACGCUGGCGGCAGGCCUAACACAUGCAAGUCGAACGAGUGGCGGACGGGUGAGUAAUGUCUGGGAAACUGCCUGAUGGAGGGGGAUAACUACUGGAAACGGUAGCUAAUACCGCAUACCAUCGGAUGUGCCCAGAUGGGAUUAGCUAGUAGGUGGGGUAACGGCUCACCUAGGCGACGAUCCCUAGCUGGGUUGCGAGGAUGAACAUACACACUGGAACUGAUAAACGGGCCAGACUCCUACGUGAGGCAGCAGUGGGGAAUAUUGCACAAUUGGCGCAAGCCUGAUGCAGCCAUGCCGCGUGUAUGAAGAAGGCCUUCGGGUUGUAAAGUACUUUCAGCGGGGAGGCGUUACCCGCAGAAGAAGCACCGGCUAACUCCGUGCCAGCAGCCGCGGUAAUUC